AGCCCCUGCAGUGGGGUGACUGCGUACCUUUUGCAUAAUGGGUCAGCGACUUACGUUCAAUGGCAAGCUUAACCGAGUAGGGGAGGCGCAGCGAAAGCGAGUCCGAACAGGGCGAUAUGAGUCGUUGGGCGUAGACCCGAAACCAGAUGAUCUAUCCAUGGCCAGGCUGAAGGUGUGGUAACACACACUGGAGGGCCGAACCGACUAGUGUUGCAAAAUUAGCGGAUGAGCUGUGGAUAGGGGUGAAAGGCUAAACAAAUCUGGAGAUAGCUGGUUCUCCCCGAAAACUAUUGAGGUAGUGCCUCGUGUGUCGCUCCAGGGGGUAGAGCACUGUUAUGGCUAGGGGGACAUGGCGUCUUACCAAACCAUGGCAAACUCCGAAUACUUGGAAGUCUGAGCACGGGAGACAGAGCACCGGGUGCUAACGUCCGGACUCAAAAGGGAAACAACCCAGACCGCCGGCUAAGGUCCCUAAUAUUGACUAAGUGGAAAACGAAGUGGGAAGGCUAAGACAGUCAGGAAGUUGGCUUAGAAGCAGCCAUCCUUCAAAGAAAGCGUAAUAGCUCACUGAUCGAGUCCUCAUGCGCGGAAGAUGUAACGGGGCUAAGUCAAUAACCGAAGCCGCGGAUUCGCAGCAAUGCGAGUGGUAGGGGAGCGUUCUGUAAGCCUGCGAAGGUGUGCUGUGAGGCAUGCUGGAGGUAUCAGAAGUGCGAAUGCUGACAUAAGUAACGAUAAAGCGGGUGAAAAGCCCGCUCGCCGGAAGACCAAGGGUUCCUGUCCAACGUUAAUCGGGGCAGGGUGAGUCGACCCCUAAGGCGAGGCCGAAAGGCGUAGUCGAUGGGAAACAGGUUAAUAUUCCUGUACUUGGUGUUACUGCGAAGGGGGGACGGAGAAGGCUAUGUUGGCCGGGCGACGGUUGUCCCGGUUUAAGCGUGUAGGCUGGUUUUCCAGGCAAAUCCGGAAAAUCAAGGCUGAGGCGUGAUGACGAGGCACUACGGUGCUGAAGCAACAAAUGCCCUGCUUCCAGGAAAAGCCUCUAAGCAUCAGGUAACAUCAAAUCGUACCCCAAACCGACACAGGUGGUCAGGUAGAGAAUACCAAGGCGCUUGAGAGAACUCGGGUGAAGGAACUAGGCAAAAUGGUGCCGUAACUUCGGGAGAAGGCACGCUGAUAUGUAGGUGAAGCGACUUGCUCGUGGAGCUGAAAUCAGUCGAAGAUACCAGCUGGCUGCAACUGUUUAUUAAAAACACAGCACUGUGCAAACACGAAAGUGGACGUAUACGGUGUGACGCCUGCCCGGUGCCGGAAGGUUAAUUGAUGGGGUUAGCGGCAACGCGAAGCUCUUGAUCGAAGCCCCGGUAAACGGCGGCCGUAACUAUAACGGUCCUAAGGUAGCGAAAUUCCUUGUCGGGUAAGUUCCGACCUGCACGAAUGGCGUAAUGAUGGCCAGGCUGUCUCCACCCGAGACUCAGUGAAAUUGAACUCGCUGUGAAGAUGCAGUGUACCCGCGGCAAGACGGAAAGACCCCGUGAACCUUUACUAUAGCUUGACACUGAACAUUGAGCCUUGAUGUGUAGGAUAGGUGGGAGGCUUUGAAGUGUGGACGCCAGUCUGCAUGGAGCCGACCUUGAAAUACCACCCUUUAAUGUUUGAUGUUCUAACGUUGACCCGUAAUCCGGGUUGCGGACAGUGUCUGGUGGGUAGUUUGACUGGGGCGGUCUCCUCCUAAAGAGUAACGGAGGAGCACGAAGGUUGGCUAAUCCUGGUCGGACAUCAGGAGGUUAGUGCAAUGGCAUAAGCCAGCUUGACUGCGAGCGUGACGGCGCGAGCAGGUGCGAAAGCAGGUCAUAGUGAUCCGGUGGUUCUGAAUGGAAGGGCCAUCGCUCAACGGAUAAAAGGUACUCCGGGGAUAACAGGCUGAUACCGCCCAAGAGUUCAUAUCGACGGCGGUGUUUGGCACCUCGAUGUCGGCUCAUCACAUCCUGGGGCUGAAGUAGGUCCCAAGGGUAUGGCUGUUCGCCAUUUAAAGUGGUACGCGAGCUGGGUUUAGAACGUCGUGAGACAGUUCGGUCCCUAUCUGCCGUGGGCGUUGGAGAAUUGAUUGGGGCUGCUCCUAGUACGAGAGGACCGGAGUGGACGCACCACUGGUGUUCCGGUUGUGUCGCCAGACGCAUUGCCGGGUAGCUAAGUGCGGAAGAGAUAAGUGCUGAAAGCAUCUAAGCACGAAACUUGCCAAGAGAUGAGUUCUCCCAGAUUAUAAAUCUGUAAGGGUUGU
rnacentral:rRNA from 1 species